GUCUCCGUGGUGGAGUUGGUUUACCACAUCAGUCUCAUAAUCUAGGUUAUGAUCAGUUCAUCAAUGCUGAGCAAUCUGAAGGCCAGCAGUUCGAUCCUGCUCGGGGACA